UCCGACGGCGCACUUGUGGAGCCCACCCCUUGUAACAGCAACUCCAUGUGGAAGGGUCUCCUGGUUCCAGUGGAGCUGCUGUUAUCUUGGGUGGGUCAUCCGGGAUCCUCGGAGGAAG
rnacentral:pre_miRNA from 13 species